CGAGGUCUGGGAGUGGAGAAGGUAGAAGUCCGUUUUUACUAGCCGAGGUCUGGAAGUGGAGAAGGUAGAAGUCCGUUUUACAAGCCGAGGUCGAGAAGUGGAGAAGGUAGAAAUCUGUUUACAAGCCGAGGUCGGGAGAGGAAUGGAGCCGGUAGCAUCAAGUAGAGCAGCUGAUCUCAAUGCAGCACCUGAGUGAAUAAUCCAGCCCUUUGAAUCUGGCGCGGUCUUCCUAAGUAUCGUGGAAGGACCGCGUCAGAGAAAGGGGCGGGGCUAAGCGCCGUGAACCCGGAAGUGGGUUCCGG